UCUACGGGCGGCAGCAGUGAGGAAUAUUGGUCAAUGGGCGCGAGCCUGAACCAGCCAAGUAGCGUGAAGGAUGACUGCCCUACGGGUUGUAAACUUCUUUUAUAAAGGAAUAAAGUGAGGCACGUGUGCCUUUUUGUAUGUACUUUAUGAAUAAGGAUCGGCUAACUCCGUGCCAGCAGCCGCGGUAAUACGGAGGAUCCGAGCGUUAUCCGGAUUUAUUGGGUUUAAAGGGAGCGUAGAUGGGUUGUUAAGUCAGUUGUGAAAGUUUGCGGCUCAACCGUAAAAUUGCAAUUGAUACUGACAGUCUUGAGUACAGUUGAGGUAGGCGGAAUUCGUGGUGUAGCGGUGAAAUGCUUAGAUAUCACGAAGAACUCCGAUUGCGAAGGCAGCUCACUAAACUGCCACUGACAUUGAUGCUCGAAAGUGUGGGUAUCAAACAGGAUUAGAUACCCUAGUAGUC
rnacentral:rRNA from 1 species